rnacentral:rRNA from 1 species
CGAACGCUGGCGGCAGGUCUUAGGCAUGCAAGUCGAACGGAUGACAAGGGAGCUUGCUCCUGAAGUCAGUGGCGCACGAGUGAGUAACGCGUGGGAAACUGCCCUUCACUGGGGAAUAACGUUUGGAAACGAACGCUAAUACCGCAUACGCCCGCAAGGGGAAAGAUUUAUCGGUGAUGGAUGUGCCCGCGUUGGAUUAGCUAGUUGGUGGGGUAAUGGCCUACCAAGGCGAUGAUCCAUAGCUGGUCUGAGAGGACGAUCAGCCACGCUGGAACUGAGACACGGUCCAGACUCCUACGGGAGGCAGCAGCUAAGAAUAUUGGGCAAUGGAGGAAACUCUGACCCAGCCCAUGCCGCGUGAAUGAAGAAGGCCUUCGGGUUGUAAAGUUCUUUUAGUCAUGAAGAUGAUGACAGUAGUGACAGAAAAAGCACCGGCUAACUUCGUGCCAGCCGCUGC